UACGAAGGGUGCAAGCGUUACUCGGAAUUACUGGGCGUAAAGCGUGCGUAGGCGGUUUGUUAAGUCUGUCGUGAAAGCCCCGGGCUCAACCUGGGAAUGGCGAUGGAAACUGGCGAGCUAGAGUACGGUAGAGGAGAGUGGAAUUCCCGGUGUAGCAGUGAAAUGCGUAGAGAUCGGGAGGAACAUCAGUUGCGAAGGCGGCUCUCUGGACCAGUACUGACGCUGAGGCACGAAAGCGUGGAGAGCAAACAGG
rnacentral:rRNA from 1 species